rnacentral:rRNA from 1 species
UACGGAGGGAGCUAGCGUUGUUCGGAAAUACUGGGCGUAAAGCGCACGUAGGCGGCGCAGCAAGUCAGGGGUGAAAUCCCGGGGCUCAACCCCGGAACUGCCCUUGAAACUGCAGUGCUAGAAUUCUGGAGAGGCGAGUGGAAUUCCGAGUGUAGAGGUGAAAUUCGUAGAUAUUCGGAGGAACACCAGUGGCGAAGGCGACUCGCUGGACAGACAUUGACGCUGAGGUGCGAAAGCGUGGGGAGCAAACAGG